UACAGAGGGGGCAAGCGUUGUUCGGAAUUACUGGGCGUAAAGGGCGCGUAGGCGGCCUGUUAAGUCGAACGUGAAAUCCCCAGGCUCAACCUGGGAACUGCGUCCGAUACUGGCAGGCUUGAAUCCGGGAGAGGGAUGUGGAAUUCCAGGUGUAGCGGUGAAAUGCGUAGAUAUAGGAAGGAACACCAGUGGCGAAGGCGACCACCUGGACUGAUACUGACACUGAGGUGCGAAAGCGUGGGGAGCAAACAGG
rnacentral:rRNA from 1 species